CAGACUAACCCGAUCUUCCCAUCCUUGAAAGAAUUUGCUUUGUAUGCUGCUGAUUUGAGAAGAAAUAAUUAUGAACCAAGGUUUAUCAAGAUUCUACUGAAACAAGCAUGGUCGUUGAUAAGUGAUAAUGAAAUAAAAAGCUGGUCAUCUCAUACUGGAAUGCCUAUUCUACACCCAUCUUAACCUACCAGAAUUUGCUCGUGUAAAAGACAUUGUUAAAUAUAAAAAAUCAAAUGAAAGUUUCACUUCAGCCUAAUAUCAUUAUUUUUGAAAAUUUGCAAUAAUGUAUAUUUGCAAUAUUGCAAUAUUUGUGUUACUAGAUAACUUAAUUUCGGUUUUUUAAGUAUUAUUCUGAUACGAACUUUGAUAGUUAUAAUACAAUUACUGCUUUAAAAAUUAGAUUCUGUAUCUUCUUGUCUUUUAAAUGAUUUUACAACUGAUCGGACACUAAACCACAGGGAAGCACUGUUUCUGUGUACUUUGCUUCAGUUUCAUGUUGCUAUAUAUUUUUAAUGAUAAACGUUUCCACAGACUG